rnacentral:rRNA from 1 species
GCUCAGGAUGAACGCUAGCUACAGGCUUAACACAUGCAAGUCGAGGGGCAGCAUUUUAGUUUGCUUGCGAACUGAAGAUGGCGACCGGCGCACGGGUGAGUAACACGUAUCCAACCUGCCGAUAACUCCGGAAUAGCCUUUCGAAAGAAAGAUUAAUACCGGAUAGCAUACGAAUAUCGCAUGAUAUUUUUAUUAAAGAAUUUCGGUUAUCGAUGGGGAUGCGUUCCAUUAGUUUGUUGGCGGGGUAACGGCCCACCAAGACUACGAUGGAUAGGGGUUCUGAGAGGAAGGUCCCCCACAUUGGAACUGAGACACGGUCCAAACUCCUACGGGAGGCAGCAGUGAGGAAUAUUGGUCAAUGGGCGAGAGCCUGAACCAGCCAAGUAGCGUGAAGGAUGAAGGCUCUAUGGGUCGUAAACUUCUUUUAUAUGGGAAUAAAGUUUUCCACGUGUGGAAUUUUGUAUGUACCAUAUGAAUAAGGAUCGGCUAACUCCGUGCCAGCAGCCGCGGUAAUACGGAGGAUCCGAGCGUUAUCCGGAUUUAUUGGGUUUAAAGGGAGCGUAGGUGGAUUGUUAAGUCAGUUGUGAAAGUUUGCGGCUCAACCGUAAAAUUGCAGUUGAAACUGGGAGUCUUGAGUACAGUAGAGGUGGGCGGAAUUCGUGGUGUAGCGGUGAAAUGCUUAGAUAUCACGAAGAACUCCGAUUGCGAAGGCAGCUCACUAGACUGUCACUGACACUGAUGCUCGAAAGUGUGGGUAUCAAACAGGAUUAGAUACCCUGGUAGUCCACACAGUAAACGAUGAAUACUCGCUGUUUGCGAUAUACAGUAAGCGGCCAAGCGAAAGCAUUAAAGUAUUCCACCUGGGGAGUACGCCGGCAACGGUGAAACUCAAAGGAAUUGACGGGGGCCCGCACAAGCGGAGGAACAUGUGGUUUAAUUCGAUGAUACGCGAGGAGCCUUACCCGGGCUUAAAUUGCAACAGAAUAUAUUGGAAACAGUAUAGCCGUAAGGCUGUUGUGAAGGUGCUGCAUGGUUGUCGUCAGCUCGUGCCGUGAGGUGUCGGCUUAAGUGCCAUAACGAGCGCAACCCUUAUCUUUAGUUACUAACAGGUCAUGCUGAGGACUCUAGAGAGACUGCCGUCGUAAGAUGUGAGGAAGGUGGGGAUGACGUCAAAUCAGCACGGCCCUUACGUCCGGGGCUACACACGUGUUACAAUGGGGGGUACAGAAGGCGGCUACCUGGUGACAGGAUGCUAAUCCCAAAAACCUCUCUCAGUUCGGAUCGAAGUUUGCAACCCGACUUCGUGAAGCUGGAUUCGCUAGUAAUCGCGCAUCAGCCAUGGCGCGGUGAAUACGUUCCCGGGCCUUGUACACACCGCCCGUCAAGCCAUGAAAGCCGGGGGUACCUGAAGUACGUAACCGCAAGGAGCGUCCUAGGGUAAAACUGGUAAU